rnacentral:rRNA from 1 species
UACGAAGGGUGCAAGCGUUACUCGGAAUUACUGGGCGUAGAGCGUGAGUAGGUGGUUUCUUAAGUCUGCUGUGAAAGCCCCGGGCUCAACCUGGGAAUUGCAGUGGAUACUGGGAAGCUAGAGUGCGGUAGAGGGUAGUGGAAUUCCCGGUGUAGCGGUGAAAUGCGCAGAUAUCGGGAAGAACACCCGUGGCGAAGGCGGCUCUCGUGGGACGGUACUGACGCUGAGACGCGAAAGCGUGGGGAGCA